rnacentral:rRNA from 1 species
UACAGAGGGUGCAAGCGUUGUUCGGAAUUAUUGGGCGUAAAGGGAGUGUAGGCGGUUUGCUAAGUCUUCUGUGAAAUCUACGGGCUCAGCCUGUAACGUGCAGAGGAAACUGACAGACUUGAGUGUCGGAGAGGAUAGUGGAAUUCCCGGUGUAGAGGUGAAAUUCGUAGAGAUCGGGAGGAACACCAGUGGCGAAGGCGGCACUCUGGGACGGUACUGACGCUGAGACGCGAAAGCGUGGGGAGCGAACAGG